AAGCAGCUUGCUGCUUCGCUGACGAGUGGCGGACGGGUGAGUAAUGUCUGGGAAACUGCCUGAUGGAGGGGGAUAACUACUGGAAACGGUAGCUAAUACCGCAUAAUGUCGCAAGACCAAAGAGGGGGACCUUCGGGCCUCUUGCCAUCGGAUGUGCCCAGAUGGGAUUAGCUAGUAGGUGGGGUAACGGCUCACCUAGGCGACGAUCCCUAGCUGGUCUGAGAGGAUGACCAGCCACACUGGAACUGAGACACGGUCCAGACUCCUACGGGAGGCAGCAGUGGGGAAUAUUGCACAAUGGGCGCAAGCCUGAUGCAGCCAUGCCGCGUGUAUGAAGGAGGCCUUCGGGUUGUAAAGUACUUUCAGCGGGGAGGAAGGCGGUGAGGUUAAUAACCUCAUCGAUUGACGUUACCCGCAGAAGAAGCACCGGCUAACUCCGUGCCAGCAGCCGCGGUAAUACGGAGGGUGCAAGCGUUAAUCGGAAUUACUGGGCGUAAAGCGCACGCAGGCGGUCUGUCAAGUCGGAUGUGAAAUCCCCGGGCUCAACCUGGGAACUGCAUUCGAAACUGGCAGGCUAGAGUCUUGUAGAGGGGGGUAGAAUUCCAGGUGUAGCGGUGAAAUGCGUAGAGAUCU
rnacentral:rRNA from 1 species